rnacentral:rRNA from 1 species
AGUGAACGCUGGCGGUAGGCCUAACACAUGCAAGUCGAACGGCAGCACAGUAAGAGCUUGCUCUUACGGGUGGCGAGUGGCGGACGGGUGAGGAAUACAUCGGAAUCUACUUUUUCGUGGGGGAUAACGUAGGGAAACUUACGCUAAUACCGCAUACGACCUACGGGUGAAAGCAGUAGAUCUUCGCACCUUGCGCGAUUGAAUGAGACGAUGUCGGAUUAGCUAGUUGGCGGGGUAAAGGCCCACCAAGGCGACGAUCCGUAGCUGGUCUGAGAGGAUGAUCAGCCACACUGGAACUGAGACACGGUCCAGACUCCUACGGGAGGCAGCAGUGGGGAAUAUUGGACAAUGGGCGCAAGCCUGAUCCAGCCAUACCGCGUGGGUGAUGAAGGCCUUCGGGUUGUAAAGCCCUUUUGUUGGGAAAGAAAAUCAGCAGGUUAAUACCCCGCUGUUCUGACGGUACCCAAAGAAUAAGCACCGGCUAACUUCGUG